AUGAGCGCGCGGAGAGCAGAGGGCUCGCAGAGGUCAGAGCUCAGAGUGCAGGCGGACCGCGGAGAGACACGCUCAGUUCAUCUACAGGAGGAUGGAGGUGGAGAACCGACCCGACGGAUUUAACUUCUCCAAACGGACCAAAUUACUGAGCGCCGGUUUUUAUGAAGAGAACUCACUUCAGGACGACACAGAAGAUGGGGGUGAGCGCUGGUGUCUGAUCUGCGGUGACCGGGCGUCCGGGCUGCACUAUGGCAUCAUUUCCUGCGAGGGCUGUAAGGGCUUCUUCAAACGCAGUAUCUGCAACAAGCGCAUCUACCGCUGCAACAGAGACAAGAACUGCCAGAUGUCCCUCAAACAACGCAACCGCUGCCAGUACUGCAGGCUGCAGAAGUGCCUUCAGAUGGGAAUGAACCGAAAAGCAAUCAGAGAGGACGGGAUGCCAGGAGGGAGGAAUAAAAUGAUUGGACCUGUACAGAUCUCUCUGGAGGAGAUCGAACGAAUCAUGUCUGGCCAGGAGUUUAAAGAGGGAGCUGAACUAUCAGAUUCGUGGAGCCACGGCUACAGUAACCACAGUUCACCUGGCAACAGUAUCUCCGAGGGCGGCCAGACCUUAUCUUUCUCCACGCUGUCAAACAGCCGUUCUAUGGAUGUGAGCACAUACUCGGUAUCCUGUAGAGAUCAGUGCAGCAGUCCUCAGCUAACACACUCUUUCCUGGUGUGUAAAUAUCCUGUGGCGCCCUCUACCGGCAGCAGGCUGAAGACUCAGUCACACACACUGACAGCCCAGCUGCUGGCCGCCGAAGACCUCACACCACUCACUACACCCAUGGUCAUAGAAGAGGGGUAUAACGUGACUCAGUCGGAGCUGCUGGCUCUGCUUUGUCGUAUAGCUGAUGAGCUGUUAUUCAGACAGAUAGUCUGGCUGAAACGUUUACCCUUCUACAGCGAUCUGUCCAUCAAAGACUGCACUCGUUUACUGGGGGCUUCCUGGCAUCAGCUCAUCCUGCUCUCCUCGCUCACGGUGCACAGCGGACAGAUACUUGGAGAACUGGCCAGCAUCACGCAGCAGUACACGCCGUCCAGCCUGACUCUACAAGGGUUUGGUGAGGACGCUAUGGAGGUCAUGGAGAGUUUAAAUUUUCUCUUUCGUAAGUUUCAUCAGUUGAGCAUCAGCAAUGAGGAGUACAGCUGCUUGAAGACCAUCACCCUGCUCAAUCAAGAUAUGGCAGGUCUGUGCAACUCAUCCACGCUGGAACAGUUAAGUGAACGCUAUUGGUCCGUGUGUCGUGACCUGACAGAACGACUCCACCCUCAUCGACCCAAACGCUUCUCUGACAUCAUCACCUGCCUAUCUGAGAUACAUCACACCUCAGGUAAGAUGAUGGCCGUACCACUGGAGCAGCUCCCUCUGCUGUUUAAGGCGGUACUGUACUCCUGCACAACCAAUCAAAACCCCUGGCUAGCCAGCAGCUCCACCUUCAAGACAUAAGCCACGCCUCCAACUAGCUGUUUCCCCACCCCCCGCCCCCAGUGUAUUUAUUACAUGACAAAGUUGAAUGUAAAACUUGACAAAUUUGUGUGCGAUUUCAAAGUAGCGAUCUACCAAAUUAGAUUGAAAAGAACACCUCAGGAACGUGACUUUUGAAGGAAAAAACACUUUGGCCAUUGUGUUAAUGAUCAAAAUGAAAAGAAAAUCUGCUCAAAUGAACACACUGCAAUCCAUUGUUGAAUCAUGCAGCCUCUAGCUAUGAUAUGAAAUGUCCUUGUGUUGCAGGAUGUCACUGAUAAAAUAUGCCUGAGAAAAUAGUGAAGAUGCCAAGGUGCUGAAUUUCAUUCAAAAAAACAAUGGUUCUUAUUGAGACGAUAGCUACAUUUGAGCUAUAGGGAUUUAAAUAGUCAAAAUGAUCAUCCGCAGCUCACUAGUUUGAGUACCGAGAGUGUGAAACAAUAUAUGUGAUGUUGAGCGUAAUUUUUUUCAGGAUGGAGACUUCCGGCAACGUUUGAGCCAGUCGCCGGGGUAACGAAAUGCAAUAAGCACACUCUUUAUCCCAGUGCCGACAACAAGAGGGUAAAAUAUAGCGGAUAGCGUGCGAGGGGCGCUCUGAAGAAGGGGGGAAAUCAUUUUCUUUUGUGCACGCCAUGAUUCUCUCUGUUUUGUUACCAUCUGAGGCCUUGAAGUGCCUGUGUAGUUGAUGACAUAAAGACCGGGCGGCAAAUCAGCUGUUUGUCUUUUUUUUUUUAUAUUCAUUGUUCAUCUGUUUAGCAUGGUAUUUUUCUUCUCUGCAUUUGAAUGUUUACAGCAUUUAAAAAUUACAUUGUACUUAUUUUCGUUUCAUAAAAAGGCCUG